GUAGGUGGCAAGCGUUGUCCGGAAUUUAUUGGGGCGUAAAGCGCGCGCAGGCGGUUCUUUAAGUCUGAUGUGAAAGCCACGGGCUCAACCGUGGAGGGUCAUUGAAACUGGAGAACUUGAGUACAGAAGAGGAAAGCGGAAUUCCACGUGUAGCGGUGAAAUGCGUAGAGAUGUGGAGGAACACCAGUGGCGAAGGCGGCUUUCUGGUCUGUAACUGACGCUGAGGCGCGAAAGCGUGGGGAGCAAACAGGAUUAGAUACCCUGGUAGUCCACGCCGUAAACGAUGAGUGCUAAGUGUUAGGGGGUUUCCGCCCCUUAGUGCUGCAGCUAACGCAUUAAGCACUCCGCCUGGGGAGUACGGCCGCAAAGGCUG
rnacentral:rRNA from 1 species